UUCCGAACCUGCAAGAAUGAUACACAUUCUUACUUUUGAGCAUCAAUGACCGUUGGGUCGCUUUUUCAUUUUUUGAAGAUAGUCGAGAAGUAUUGUUAUAUUUUAGAAAUUGAGGUGUAUUCAGUAUUCCUUUUAAGAAAACUUUGAAUCACUGAUUGGGACAAUAAAAAAGGAGUUGACAAAUGCUUCCCUUCCUUCAAGCUUAAAAUGUGCUUGCCAUUUUUGGCCAUUGAUGCAAGGAUAUGCAAUUCCGAGGCAAUGCAAGAAAG
rnacentral:misc_RNA from 1 species